rnacentral:lncRNA from 1 species
CUCUAUGCAAAUAGAGAGGCUGACGUCACCCGUCACGUGGUUUCAGCGUCGCUGCCCCGCUGGGAGCCAGGGUUUUUUUUUUUUUUUUUGGUUUUUUUCCUGCCCCCUCCCCUGCGCCCCUCCCCCGCCUGCGGGCUCCUCCUCCUGCUCCUCCUCCUGCUCCUCCUGCUCCUGCUGCUCCUCCUGCUCCUGCCGCCGCCGGGGUGUUGUUGGGCUGCUCCCGGCUGGGCGGGAGCCCCGCUCCCCUGUGGGAUCCCCCCGUGCGGGGUGGGGGCGGGAGGACUGGCCGGGCCGGGGGCCCCGCAGCGCCCCGCCUGCAGGUGUCACACGGCCGGAUGGCAGGCAGAAACGAGGCUUAGCGUCCCCCAGGCCGACAGGACUUCCGCCUCGAGACCGGCCCGUCCGAGGGAAGGCCGGCCUGUUGAGAAGCCCCCUACUCGCCCCAAGUCACCAC